UUGUUGCUGGAGGAACACUUUUUUUCUUGCAAUAUCCUAAGUAUCCUCAAACUAACUACACUCUCUCCUAACUACAACUUCUCUGACUAAGAUGUCACUUCCUCUUCUUUAAAAAAUAAAUGGAUGGCCAGUUUCUGAUUUAUGAGUUUUCGAAAACCAACAUAUUUCUCUCUCCAACUUUACUUUUUGAAAUUCAGAUCUAGUUUUCCAAAUUUGACAGUCCUUUCUUCAUUUAUUAACCCUAAUAGAACACCAAGAAUCCAGAGACCUCGAUGCGAGUUUGAUUGUGUAAUCUCGUCUCCACCUUUUCUUAUCUCAUCACCUUUCUCAUCCAUUCUUUGCCGCCCAUUUUCGGAACUAUAUCUAACCAUGACGAAACCAAAAUCAAAGAUGAAAGGGAAGAUUUCCGAGCAACCAACUCCACCGGAAAACGAUAUCAAAGGUACACUUCAGGCGGACCUCCGUCUCCCGCCGAGACUAUUUGCAACUGAUAGGUUCCCGACCAAAAGCCUCAACAUCUACUCACUUUAUUAGCUUUCGUUAGUGUCGGGAUUCAUUAAUGUUUUGAUGCUUGUUCUGUUUCUGGUCACUAGACAUUCAGUAUCCAAAUCAAAGCAUCAAUCUUUUUAAUGAUACUCGUAAUUAUUUUCAUUUCAGUGUCUGAUUGUGUGCUACAAGCCUGAACUAAAAGAGCGUCUGCUUCCUCUAAGACCUACUUCAGAAUUGAAUCUCAGAGAUGCUGAUGCGUCUAGUUCUUCUGCUUUUGGUAGAACUACCUUCUUGGAGUUGAUGUCUUGGAUCGUAAGAAACGUGGACAAAGCCUACGUUCUUGGAUUCUUGUUGAUAUCUCUCAAAACACUCAAAUGAUGGAAGUUGACAAGUUCAUUAUGAUGCGUAGAUGUGAUCACUUACCCGCUCUCGUCCACGAAUCUUUGUCUACAAAUUUAGUCCAUGUCCACAUUUUAAGAAACAUGUAUUCUUUGCACGUGACCACAUUUUCAUACAUAUUUAUUAUGUCAAUGUCUACACAUUUGUGUAAAUGUUAAUAUACACUCCUCUGUU